rnacentral:lncRNA from 1 species
CUGCCUCCACCCAAUCCAUGUGCAGCCACAACACUCCGGAAGUCACUGAAAAAUCCCUCUACGAAACGCUCGCAAAAGCGGCUCCUAAAUCACAUAGAAUCGAUUUCUAAACUUUAAUUUCAAUGAAAAUCCAUCCAAAACACAUCUCCUAAGAUCCAAUAUGAAGAAUCCACCAAAAAAAUCCUAUUCAAAAUUAUAAUAAUAAAAUACUACCUCGCAAUCGAAGCGCCGGAAAAAUCCAACACACGAGGAGGCUCGAUCGGCUCGUCAAACGGCCCAAGAAAUAUCUUUAUUUUUCUUCUUCUCCUCUUUUCCCCUUCCUUUUCCUCUCCCUUUCUCUCUCUUGCAUACACGUUCAAGGUGGAGAAGCUUCAAGAGGCCUCUCAGGUAACUUAGUGGAGAUCCAUUAAGCAAUGUAACAAUUGAUCGUAGGUUCACAAGAAUUAAGCAUACAAACUUUAGUCCAAUUAAGAAUCUGAUACUUUUCGCUGGAGCCCUUCUGAAUGUCUGUUUGUACUCAAAUUUGACAGUCAGACUCUAUUAAAAUUAAUCAGAAGAACAUGAUCUUAAUUUUCUAGUUUCGAACCAUUUUUUGUCACCGAAAGGUCUACUGACUAAAAUCUCUAUCAGAUUGCUGUUAUUUUCUGUUUCCACUUUCCGAGUGUCAGAAUGGCAUGAAACUUUAAAUCUAACGGCAGAAAAAUAAUUUCUCCACAUUCUCAAAUUUUCAUAAUUUUCUGACACUAUAAUUUUUCUGCUAAAAAAUAAGCUCCGUUUCUUACCGAAAAUUAUAAAUCUGCUGUUUUCAUUUCAAUUUCAAUACAAGUCAUUUUCGACUUAUAUUUUACUUCUCUAAGUCCAAUAAACAUAGUAUCUCAUACUAUUUUUAUUUAUACUUACUUUUAUAUUAAAAAUCCGAUACACUACAACCUUAGCCCAAAAGAACCCCAGCAUGA